rnacentral:tRNA from 1 species
GCGAGUGGUGAAAUUGGCAGACACGCAAGAUUUAGGAUCUUGUGCCGCAAGGCGUGCGGGUUCAAAUCCCGCCUCUCGCA